AGAGCGAACGCUGGCGGCAGGCCUAACACAUGCAAGUCGAACGGACUCUUCGGAGUUAGUGGCGGACGGGUGAGUAACACGUGGGAACGUGCCUUUUGGUUCGGAAUAGCUCCUGGAAACGGGUGGUAAUGCCGAAUGUGCCCUUCGGGGGAAAGAUUUAUCGCCAUUAGAGCGGCCCGCGUCUGAUUAGCUAGUUGGUGAGGUAAAGGCUCACCAAGGCUACGAUCAGUAGCCGGUCUGAGAGGAUGACCAGCCACAUUGGGACUGAGACACGGCCCAAACUCCUACGGGAGGCAGCAGUGGGGAAUCUUGCGCAAUGGGCGAAAGCCUGACGCAGCCAUGCCGCGUGAAUGAUGAAGGUCUUAGGAUUGUAAAAUUCUUUCACCGGGGACGAUAAUGACGGUACCGGAGAAGAAGCCCGGCUAACUUCGUGCCAGCAGCCGC
rnacentral:rRNA from 1 species